GUAGGGAAUCUUCGGCAAUGGACGAAAGUCUGACCGAGCAACGCCGCGUGAGUGAAGAAGGUUUUCGGAUCGUAAAACUCUGUUGGUAGAGAAGAACGUUGGUGAGAGUGGAAAGCUCAUCAAGUGACGGUAACUACCCAGAAAGGGACGGCUAACUACGUGCCAGCAGCCGCGGUAAUACGUAGGUCCCGAGCGUUGUCCGGAUUUAUUGGGCGUAAAGCGAGCGCAGGUGGUUUAUUAAGUCUGGUGUAAAAGGCAGUGGCUCAACCAUUGUAUGCAUUGGAAACUGGUAGACUUGAGUGCAGGAGAGGAGAGUGGAAUUCCAUGUGUAGCGGUGAAAUGCGUAGAUAUAUGGAGGAACACCGGUGGCGAAAGCGGCUCUCUGGCCUGUAACUGACACUGAGGCUCGAAAGCGUGGGGAGCAAACAGG
rnacentral:rRNA from 2 species